GAGUAUAUAGCUCAGUGGUAGAGUGUGUGCUUCGCAUGCACAAAGUCCUGGGUUCAAUCCCAGUAUCUCCA
rnacentral:tRNA from 1 species